rnacentral:rRNA from 1 species
UUAGAUGUUCUGGGCCGCACGUGUGACACAAUGAUAUAUUCAAUAAGUAUUAUUUAAUUAUUUUUAUUUUAUUUUAUAAAAUAAAAUUAAAAAUCUAGACUGUAGAGUUAUGAUAAUCUUAAAUAUAUAUCGUGUUUGGGAUUGAUGCUUGUAAUUAUUCAUCAUGAACGAGGAACACCUAGUAAGUGCAAGUCAUCAGCUUGCGCUGAAUACGUCCCUGCCC